rnacentral:lncRNA from 1 species
UUAGAUCCAGAUUUUUCUAGAAGAAAAUGGAUGGAAUAUGUUUGACCUAUCGCAAGUCGAAACACUAGAAAUUCUUCUUAAAAUUACCAGACCUUAAUCAUCCACAUACUUUUUCUCGGUUAAACCUAACUACUAAUUUUGUCACAAAAACCAUAUGUAUGCUAGCUUGUGUAAUUAACAGCACAGCUAGUAAAUUAGGAAAUCACACAUCCCAAGAUCAUGAUGCAAUAAGACAAUAAUCGUCGAAAUUAAUGACUCGUCACAGUAUAUUAUUUAACGCAAUGAUCUCAAAAGUACUUUCACAACAAUGAAAAAGGAGUACAAAUAAUAACUUGACAUGAUAGGACAAUUCAAAAGCAACGUCAAAAAGGGGGGAAAAUAAUACAAGGAUUCUCAAAUAUAACCUGAUAAAUCAAAACAUAGGAACAAAGAUAAACGUAACGUUGAGAAUGGGUGUGGAUUAUUCUUAGGUGAUCUCUUCAAACCCUUUCCUUAAUAACAAGGAAAGAAACAACCAAACCGAAGAAUCCGACCAUCAAUGAAGGGAAUGAAGUGAUGAUGGCACUGGACGGAGCCGGGGCGGGGGCGUGGUGGUGGCCCUCAUGGGCUACCGCCACGGCCGCCACCAUGAAUAGAACACAAGCAAUGAAGUUGAAAGCAGUAGCUGUAACUUUCAAAGCCAUUGUGUUGUGUUUUCAAGUUUGAAAUGUAGCCUUCAAUUUGUUUGUGAGAAGAAGAAUGUUUUAGGAAGUGUUUGUGUUGUAAUUCUACGUUGUGAAAUCUAUACUUAUAUACAAGUUUUUUUCAAAAGAGUAUCUUUCAUGGACUAAUUCGUAUUAUCAUUCUUUCAUUGACUUUUUGUUUUCAUUUUCUGCAAGUAGCUGGA